UGGAAGCAGCUAUUCCUUUAAAGAGUGCGUAACAGCUCACUGGUCGAGCGACAGAGCAUCGAUAAUAAUCGGGCAUCAAGUAUAGUACAGAAGCUCAGGAUUUGCAGCAAUGCAAGUGGUAGGGGAGCAUUCUAUCAUCGGAGAAGCCGAGGGGUCACCUGAGGUGGAGAGGAUAGAAAAGCAAAUGUAGGCAUAAGUAACGAUAAGGCAGGUGAGAACCCUGCCCACCGAAAGACUAAGGUUUCCGCGGCAAUGUCAAUCAGCCGCGGGUAAGUCGGGGCCUAAGGCGAAUCCGAAAGGAAUAGUCGAUGGACAACUGGUUAAUAUUCCAGUACCGACUGCAAGAGCGAUGUGGAGAAGGAGUAGUGAAAGUUCCGCGCACAGACGAAAGGGCGUUUAAGGGCGUAGGUAUAUCUUAUACAGGCAAGUCCGUAUUUGAUGCUGAAAUCCGAAAGUACAAGGAGGCUUCGGCCGAAUUGAGUGAACCUAAUCAGACUUCCGAGAAAAUCCGCUAAGCAUAUUUUGCAGUUGCCCGUACCGCAAACCGACACAGGUAGUCGAGGAGAGAAUCCUAAGGUGCUCGAGAGAUUCAUGGCUAAGGAACUCGGCAAAAUUAACCUGUAACUUCGGGAGAAGGGUUGCCUACUUCAGCAAUGAAGAGGUCGCAGAGAAAUGGCCCAGGCGACUGUUUAACAAAAACACAUGGCUAUGCGAAAUCGCAAGAUGAAGUAUAUGGCCUGACACCUGCCCGGUGCUGGAAGGUUAAGGGGGGAAGUUAGCCGCAAGGCGACGCUUUGAACUGAAGCCCCAGUAAACGGCGGCCGUAACUAUAACGGUCCUAAGGUAGCGAAAUUCCUUGUCGGGUAAGUUCCGACCUGCACGAAUGGUGUAACGAUCUGGGCGCUGUCUCAGCCAUGAGCUCGGUGAAAUUGUAGUAAUGGUGAAGAUGCCGUUUACCCGUCACGGGACGGAAAGACCCCAUGAACCUUUACUAUAGCUUCACAUUGGUAUUGGGAAGAUGAUGUGUAGGAUAGGCGGGAGGCAAUGAUCUGGUGGCGCUAGCUAUCAGGGAGUCAACGGUGAAAUACCGCCCUUUAUUUUUCCGAUACCUAACCACUGUAUAGUGGGACAUUGUGUGGUGGGUAGUUUGACUGGGGUGGUCGCCUCCGAAAGUGUAUCGGAGGCUUUCAAAGGUAUGCUCAGUACGCUUGGUAACCGUACGUGGAGUGCAUUAGCAUAAGCAUGCUUGACUGUGAGACAGACAAGUCGAUCAGGCGCGAAAGCGGGAUAAAGUGAUCCGGUGGUUCUGCAUGGAAGGGCCAUCGCUCAAAGGAUAAAAGGUACUCUAGAAG
rnacentral:rRNA from 1 species